rnacentral:rRNA from 1 species
UACGAAGGGUGCAAGCGUUACUCGGAAUUACUGGGCGUAAAGCGUGCGUAGGUGGUUUGUUAAGUCUGCUGUGAAAUCCCCGGGCUCAACCUGGGAAUGGCAGUGGAUACUGGCAAGCUAGAGUGCGGUAGAGGGUAGUGGAAUUCCCGGUGUAGCGGUGAAAUGCGUAGAGAUCGGGAGGAACACCAGUGGCGAAGGCGGCUACCUGGACCAGCACUGACACUCAGGCACGAAAGCGUGGGGAGCAAACAGG